rnacentral:lncRNA from 1 species
AUGUUGGCCGCUUUGUGGGCCGCGCUACGCGUCUAUGCCGUGGGCGUCGCGGUGACGAUGGUGCAGUUGCUACGCCGCCUGCGCGGGGGCUUCCGGCCUCCGGAGCUACCCCUGCAGGCGGACCGCGUGGCCAUCGUGACUGGGGCGACCAGGGGUGUCGGGCUGAGCACUGCAUGCCAGCUGGCGAGGCUAGGAAUGCGUGUCAUCGUGGGUGAGAUGGAGGGCCUCCCAGCCCACUUCCUGUUUCUGGACCUGGCUUCGCUGUCUUCCGUCCGCAGCUUUGUGCGCAACUUUGAGGCCACAGCACUGCCACUGCACCUGCUCAUCAACAACGCCGGUGUUAUGCUGGACCCGAGUGGCAACACCAAGGACGGAUUCGAGCGCCACGUGGGCGUGAACUUUUUAGGCCACUUCCUGCUGACUUCCCUGCUGUUGCCAGCCCUGCGGGCCUCUGGGCACCAGGGACGCAAGUCGCGCGUCAUCACUGUCUGCUCCUCCACUCACUGGGUGGGCCAGGCGGAUGUGGCCAGGCUGCUGGGGCAGAGGUGAGCACUGGGGGAAGGGAGGAGAACUUUGCUCAGAGAGCAUGCCCUCGGGGUUUGUCAUAGCUGCUGGGGCAGAGCAUGGCGGAGUUGGCAGGUGCGGGGCCUGGGUGAGGACAAGGCCUGGGAGGUGCCCCAGAUGACAUCACUUCUUGUUGAUUGGUGAGGCGG